UACAAAGGGGAAAAGUUGAUGAACUCGUUCCGAUUGAUAAGGAACUGUUUUCUGUCGCUCUGUUUUGCUCAGUUGGAAUGAAAGAAGAGCAUCAUCAAAGGCCAAACCAAAAACAAAACAAAACGAAUAAGCUUCUAAAGUAGCAGAAUGAGGCUCAUCACGAACAGCUGCAGAAACUCGAAUUGCUGCCAGGGAGUAGAUUGAUGUCUGUCUCCACCAGACCACCUGCCUUGCAGUCCUCUCCAGCCAAUUUACAAAAUUCCCCUCUGUGCUCUGGGGAGGAUUAUAUUUCAAUAGGAGCAACAUUUGAUUAUCUGGAAGAGCUUAGCAGGGACCAGUGGCCGCCAAUGGUGACAGUGACUAAUGGAAGAGCUGGGCCAGCAGCAUGUGAUCGCAGAUGAGUAUUGUGUGUCUGUGCGUCCACCCUUAGUUAAAUCGAAGGGUCCAAUUUGGUCUGCUGAACACACAUAUUUGUGGAGGCUUAUUGAACACAAAAUUAAUUUAGGAGACAUUAAUCUAAAGAGAAUUCGACUGACAGCAACAGCAAUGGUGUUUAAUGGAAGACAAAGCCAAAAAAAAAAAAAAAAAAAAAAAAAAGAGCCAGGCCUGCCACAGUCUUUUCCUUUGUUGAGAAAAUAUAAGUAUCCCCAGGGCUUUAAUAGACUCUAAUCCUUUUUCUUGAACAAUUUGGCCUCUGCAUAGAUCAAGUGAGCAAAACAGAGUCCUGAAGAACGCACGAUCUCAGGGAGAAAUGUCCUGAAGUCAUGCUGGUUUCGGAAUGAGAAGCCGUCUGCCCACCAGCGCACCUUCUCUUUCCACUUCUGCUUUCUCGUAUGUCUUGUUAUGGCUGAAUCUGGAAACCAACAUUCUCAGCAAACUGACACAAGAACAGAAAACCAAACACUGCAUGUUCUCACUCAUAGCCAUCCAAAUGUUUGCCCAGAAGCCUCCUACUCAUCCUUCAAGACUCAGCCCAAAAGCUUCCUGCUCCUCAAAGUCUUUCCUGCAACAUCCAGGCCGAGUAGACCUUUCCCUCUCUGUUGUGACAUCUCUUACACGUCCUCGUGCUAGGACUCUGAGUGCGUGACUCGGUCUUUCCAAGUCUCAGACCCCUCAUCUGUAAGAUGGUGAUAAUCACAGAGUGUACGUGAUAGGACCGUGGUGAAGUAAUACAGAAGAUGUGCUUGGCUCCACAAGUGACAUGCAGAAAACACUCAAUACUGGCAUCUCUCUUGUCUCCAUCUCACAGUGCAGAAUUUUAUCUUAUUUGCAUGUCUAUCUUCCGUCUUUGACUGUUUCAGAAACGAGAACUAUGCCUUACUCAUUUUUAUAUCUCUAGGAACUAGUAAAGACCCAGAAUUGGCAUUCCAUAAAUAAAAGCAAUAGCUGGAAAAAAAAAUCAGGCAAAUAAUGUUAGUAGGCAAGAAAUUAUAUGUUAUUAGGAAAGAAAUGAAGACAAGCAUUUUAUUUAUGAUGACAUCUAAUGUUCUCGGGCACAGAGGUCGAAGAGGACACUGUGUACAGAGGGUGUGAGUAAAUAUUUUACAUGUUUCUCAAAGUUUGACUUAAAAAUCCUGAUAAAGUACCUCCACUGAUCUUGCCUGUCUCCUCAUAUUUCUGGCCGUGGUGAGUGGUCUGGUGUAUUAGUCAGUGUCAGUCUUUGUAAUUAUAGGUUUA